rnacentral:lncRNA from 1 species
GGAGAUAUACCUAAUGUAAAUGAGUGCAGCACACCAACAUGGCACAUGUAUACAUAUGUAACAAACCUGCACAUUGUGCACAUGUACCCUAGAACUUAAAGUAUAAUAAUUAAAAAAAAAAAUCAGUCUUCUAAAUUAAAUAUUUCUUGAGUAACCCUGCUAAGCUCACAAGAUUAUCUUCGCAUCUUGAAAACAAGAUUUUUAGGUUUUCUAAAUAUAAAUUAUUAUAUUUGCACUUUCACGCUGCACUGUUUCCCUCCAAGAGAAUGUGUCUUCCCCCCCUUAAUUGAGAAUAACUGGUGUACUGUUUUUCACAUCAAAGUAUUACUCAUUAUUCACACAUUUUGGCAUUCUUAUGGUAUUUCAAGGAAAAAUAGGGCAGUUAAGGUUUUUUGGGAAGAAUUGGUUUUAGCCUAACAUUUUAGCAUGCAAAAAAGGUGUUGUAGCUCUUAUGCUUACCAGGUUAUUUAGUGACUCAGUGGUGUCUAGUUACUUUAAUGGUAAUGUAAAUGGAAGAGUUAGGAAGUACAGAAGCCUUUAUUUGUGAUCUUCUCUAGAACCACCCUCUGCUAGGAUGUCUUUCUCCUUGUCAGCUAGUCAUUUGUUCCGUCAUUGUGUGUUUUCCCUAGUGCCAGCUUCCCUUUACAUCCCCUUUGGAAGUUUCAUAAUGGUUACUGUUUUAGUUCUAACAUUCAUUAUUUCGUCAUUGUGUAUCUAUUACAUGUUAAGAGUUAAACUAAGCUGGGGCUACAAAGAUGAAUAAGACAUGGUCCAGAUCUUCGUGGAACUCAACAAUUGAGUCUCUAAAUAUAGACAUGUGAACAGAUAGGUAGCUAUUGAAAAAUAUGAUAAAUUGUUACGUGAAGAUAGAAGAGCUAGUAACCAAUUCUGUCAUGAAGGCUUUCACAAAGAUUAUGGCAUUUCAAAGGAGUUUAGAAAAUACGUAGGAUUUACAUAGGUAUACAUGCACCAUGUUGGUUUGCUGCACCCAUUAACUCAUCAUUUAC